rnacentral:lncRNA from 1 species
CAAAUUCACACCUGUGGAACAAUUAGGGCAUAGUGGGAACUGAGUGGUGGGGGGGGGGGGGGGAAGAGUAAUGUAUUAUAAAAGCAACCUUUUUGGUGAGGUUAGUUUUCCUAUGUAUCUGUUAGUAUUAUGAAUCUUGCUCUCAAAGUUUGUCUUUUGCAUGUAUUUGCAUGCUGUUUUUAAUAAUCAAGAAUAAGAGAAUCAAGAUGAAGAAAAUAUUUUAAAGUAGUCUCUGGAUGUUUCUGCUCUUCAGAUGCUCAUGGAGCUUAUUCUGUUAUUUUGUACUUGGCUUCAUCUGGAGUGGGUGUGAUUUGGGGUGUUGUUUUUUUAAAACUUUAUUUUAUUGAGUUGGCUACAGUCAUCAUUUUGGGGGGAUUCAUAAGGAUCCUCACAUGCCUGCUCUCAAGGGUGUUUGUUACUGAGAUUGGGCUGGACUAUGAAGAUAUUUUUGCCAUGUGGGAAGCUGGGAAAUGGAGGAAAACAAAAGAGUUUCUAAGGCUCUUCCGAAACCAUGUAGAAGCCAAACUGGUGGUAUGUUGUUCCACAAGGCACAGCAUGGGAUCUUCUAAGGUGGUGAGUUUUCUUAGAAAUCCACACUGCAGGUGGCAUGUGUGCAGGUUCCUCGGGAGGGAAAUGAGAAGGUGACACCUGCAAAGUGAAUCCAGAAAAACAUAGUCACAGAGGACCAAACUUGAUGCCCAUUUAUGUGUGUGAAAAGAAGUUUUCCUACUGCAAGGAACCAGAGCUCAGGUGAAGAGAACAGAAUGACACUGGUUUGAAAAUCUAAGGUCUUUUCUCAGACCUGCAUGUAAGAAGAAUGAAGAUUCCUGAUCUUUACCUUCACUUCAACUAACAUAUAAAACAAACGAACAAAAAACCAACCACCACACAAAUGGAGUGUUCUCUUCAGUGUCACUUCUGCUGUCUGGGAGAGAUGAGACCAGCCUGCUGCUGGUACACUGAGAGGGAUCCAUCUUUUGCUGCAACCUCCCUAAAGCAUCUCCACACCUGUACUCUUCUGCAUCAGAAAUAUGGUUCACUGAGGAGUUUCUCAUCAUUCAGAAAUGAGAUCAGACUUUACUGUCCAGCAGAGAAUUGAAACUGGAGUGGAAUGGCGAUUACCUUAAUUUGUAAGUUAUGGCUUUCUGCUGUUAUCUACACUACUGAGUAACUCAGUGGAAAAGGAGAUGAUGUUGGUGCUGAGGAUGAAAGCUUCACACUGUGAGCAUUUUGGAUGUACUCUUAUCCCUUGGGCAGAAGCCCAUUAAUGCUUGGAGUGCAUGAGUUGACCUGUAGAGUGCAUCUUCCACAUCAGCUUUGUUGAAAAAUCAGUAUGUUUGUGCCCCUCUGAGUUUGCUCUGAGGUGUAGUAAAUGAGUAGGAUUAGGAAACUUCCUUCUUAAGUUCCCAGACCCUGCUAAAAUACUAAUAUACUCUCCCAUGGCCUUUUACAAUAUGGAAGCAAUGUAAUAAUUACAAGCUACUACCAUCAGGGAGAUCAAAGUCCCUGUAUUUCAAGGUGGCACUUGAUGUAUUCAAGCAUAAGAGCACAAUCUCCUAUAUUUCUGUGAGCUAAGAGAACCAGGAGGUGAACCCGAAUGAGUCUGAAACUGAAAAGUGUUUGCCAGUAAGGCCAGCUCUUAAUUUAUUCUAUACUCAUCUUUCAAAAGGGAAAGAAAUACCUUUAUCAACUCCUUGAUGAAACAUGAGAGCUUGUUUGUUCUUAACAUGUAGGAAGAAAGAGCCAAAGGUGUUAUUUCAGAAGCACUGACUGAGAAGCUUUGUAGUGCAAAGUCUUUCAUUGUGCCUACCUAGACUUGAAAAAAUUUCUCAAUGUGAGCUGAAUACCAUUGCCUUUCAUUUACUUUAGGGAGAGGUGUUUUAGCUCUUAUUUCUGAAAUACUCAUGGCCUACAUUUGAAAACUUUUAAGGAUUUGAAAAAUUUUAAGGAUGUUAAAUCUGCUAAAAUGAGUGCUUGCAUAACACCUGCCCUUCUGGAAGCUAGUAAGAUAAACAGCAUUGCUUGUGGACUAAAGAAAAUGUGGUCGGGGUGAUAAAAAGGGCUAUAGGUAGAUCUAUUGGGAAAGAAAUGUAAUUGGAUUCCUGGGUAUCUUACUGGUUGGGGCACUUCCCUUUCUGCCCCACAGCAAAAAGGUCCCAAUCCAGUGGAGCACUUAGCUCUGAGCAGUGCCUUGGAGAUCAAUGGGGCUACUUACAGCAUGUAAAACCAGGCACAUGGUUAAGUGCUUUAUUGGGUCAGAGCCAGACUGAAUAACACAUACAUAACGCUGCAUUCAGAUUCACUAUAUUCAGUUCUCAGAUCUGUAUUGAUCUGAAUUUUGAAGCCUUCACUGAAUUAACUUUUAAAGUAAAUUUUCUUUUUUAUAAACACAAAAUGAAUUUGAUGUAGUUGCCCCUUUCAUUCAGAGAUCUGAAAAUACUUUAAAAAAGUAUGAAUGUAUUGAUCUUUCACUAUGGGGAGAGUGAGUAGUAGCAACCAUAAAACAGAUGAGGAAUCUGAAAGUAGAAGAGUGAAGAAAAAAUCCACAACAACUGACUGAAAUUGGAAAACAAAUUUGUCUUGAUUGUAUUCCCAUCUGCUUUGGGUUCGGUUUCAUUAGCUUUCUUGAAAGGGAGCUUCUGUCAGGAAAGUAUAUGAAAGCACUGUAGAUAUUCAAGAGCAGUUGCAGAAGUGUUUUUUAACCUAGCUUCUAAUUCAUGGGCUUACGUAUGCCUGUUCUUUUUUACAUACUGUGAAAAUAGUAUGGAUUUGCACAGGGUAGGUACUUUUUUGGUCACAGUUUUUAUCAAAGGAAGUUUUUAAGAAGAGGCAGAAACCCACCGGAAUAUUGUUUGCAUGUUAACUUAUGGAACUCACUGUCCAUGGAUAACAUUUCAAUAAUGUGUCAAAGACUUAGAAUUGCUUGUUAUGUGUGCAAAGGACAGCUGCAGCAACUUUAACUAGGAUGAUAGUAUACAGGAAGAAGAGCAAUAAUGCUAUAACCGUUAAGCAUUGGGCAUAGGAAGAAGAUUCUCUCAUAAGCAAGUUAUUACAUAAUUCUGUUAUGGGAGUUUCACACCUUCCUCUGAAACAUCUGGUGCUAGAAAUGCAAUAAAAUACUAAAUGAAUUUCUGACCUGAUGUGGC